rnacentral:rRNA from 1 species
GAUGAACGCUGGCGGCGUGCUUCAUACAUGCAAGUCGAACGAGAAUCUGUAGCUUGCUACAGAGGAAAGUGGCGGACGGGUGAGUAAUACAUAGGGAAUCUGCCCUUAGGUGGGGGACAACAGUUGGAAACGACUGCUAAUACCGCAUAAUGCAACGGAAUCGCAUGACUCUGUUGCCAAAGAUUUAUCGCUCUGAGAUGGCCUCGCGUCUGAUUAGCUAGUUGGCGGGGUAACGGCCCACCAAGGCGACGAUCAGUAGCCGGACUGAGAGGUUGAACGGCCACAUUGGGACUGAGACACGGCCCAG